GAACCCUUCAGGCAUCCCCCAAAGCCCUUUAAGGAUUUACGGCGCGCUUCCUUCACCGCAGCCCUGGGCGGUUGGUGGUGCAAGAACUUUAUACCCAGUUUGCGGAUGAGGAAACUGAGGCCCGGGGAGCUGUUCCCCAGGGGCGGCCAUUUCCGCAGCUAACGGGAGGUAGUCGGGAUCAGGAAGGCCGUUCAGGCCCCCCCCCCCGCGCCAGCGCGGGGAGCGCCGGAGAUUUGGCGCAUUCUGGCCCCAAGGACAGGAUCAGGAGCAAUGAGGGAAGUUUCAGGGGGGAGACUUCCUAAGAAUCAGGACUCGGGGGUAAUGACAACCGCGACAACAUCAUUGUUAGGGAUUUUUUAAGCAGUGAGAGCCGUCCGUCCGUCCGUCCGUCCGCCCUCCACUAGACAGGCUCCCCCAGGAGUGAGUCUGAGCCCGGUCCCCAGAGGUCUUCAUCUGUCAGGGUUCAUGGGGUUCUCUGGCGGCGGACAGGACUGAGGACCUCCGGGGACUCCCAGAUCCGGGACUCUCUUCCAGGGGAAGUUAGGCCUCGGGGCUGGCCUGCGGCCAUCCGGCCCGGCCUUUGUGGCCUUUCCGGGUCAGGGCUGAUUUUCUCAGGGAGCUCGCCCUGCUAUCCCCGCUUGGACCCGGAAGGAAACCGAGCCUCGGCGGCGGAGGCUCUUUCUGCCCCCCUCACCAAGGGGCCCAGGGCUCUGUCCUCUGCCCUGCACAGUCCCCUUCGGCAGGUGGAGGGCGCCCCCUGGGGGAGGGGCGUUAACGGGCUGCAGGAUGCUGAGAGGACAAGCAGGACCGGAAGGGGGCGGGAGGCUAUGAUAACACCCCCAUAGUGUGUUCCGCCUCAAGAGGAGACCGGAUAGUUCUCACUGAGGAAGGGGGAAGGGCCCGGAGGCUCGGUCUGCUUUGCUCCGGGCUACUUCAACGCCCAACAUCAAGAAAAACUCCGACAGAGAGACUGGUUCUGCAGUCACACGCCUAGGCCCGGGAGUCUCCCUGCAGAAAUGUGGCCGGCUAGGGAUGGACCAGAAAGGGCGUCAGGAGCGCGGGGCACUUGCUCCAGGGAGGCUUCUCUCUCCCUCCUGGCCCGGAAGGCCGUCCGCCUUAGCAGCCAGUGCGAAGAGAGGAUGCGGCUUAGUGCUUUCUUCCACCAUCCCUCUGAACACAACGUCCGUGGAACUAUGAGCUCCGGGGCUGCUAUUGACAGCCUGGUGACGUCAGACAAACCGCAUACCCUCUCUCAGCCUCAGUUUCUCCUUCUGUAAAGCAGUGUCAAUGACUCCCACUCUACCUCUAUUUUUCACAAAACCUUCGUAAGGAAAGAAGACUCUUUGUAAAACUUGAAGCAUUUUGGAAACGAGCUGUUCUAUCCUACUUAAGAACAGUUCCUGCUGAGGACGCUGACCCUGUUUUCCAAGAGGAGACGGGAAAGACUGGAUGACCUCUGAGGUCCCCUCAACCUUUGAGAUUCUGUGAUUUUGUGAAACUGAGCUUGAGCCUCCCCUAGUAACACCAAGACCUUUAAACUCAGCAUCUUUUAUCUGCCUCCCCUUUGCUGUUAUUUAUAACUGCUUAAAGGGCCCCUCGGAGCCCCAGGGAAGAGGCAGGAUCACGGCUUGACGGGGCUAUGAAUCUUGCGUUCCUUCCUGAUGUCCUCCUGCAUCUCCGGGACUACCCCGGAAAGAGUCCCCGCUUCCCCUGGGAGCAGAAACACCAAGCCAAGGCAAAGAUUGCUGAGAUGCAUAGCGCUCCCAAGUGAGUCCAGGACUGCUGGGACUGGUGUCUGAAGUUUGUUUGACCUGGGUGAAAGGAACACAAAUAGCAGCUCCCCCCAACAAGAGAAUCCCAACCUCAAGGAACCAAGCAAAGAGGUAGGAUGGGGAUGAGAUCCGAGUUCAUGCAGUCAGACUGUGGAUCCCAGCUCUGACUUCUGGCCAAUGGUGUUAAUCUGCUGAUGUGAUCAUUGUGGGGGGUUCUCUUUUAAGACUUCAUUGUAACUUUGGGGAUAAAAAAGUUUUUUUUUUUAGUA